GGCCGGUUGGCCCAAUGGCAAGGCGUCUGACUACGAUUGCGUUUACCCUCGUUCGGACCCCGGGCGAGGAAAACGUUGGCCAAUGGUAUCAGGAGAUUCUGGGUUCGACCCCCAGGCUGGUCA
rnacentral:tRNA from 1 species